rnacentral:tRNA from 1 species
CAGAAGUUAUAUAUUAAUAAUAAUUUUGGGUAUUAUAGAUAAGGGGAACCUUCUUUCUGA